UAUCCUACGGGGGGCAGCAGUGGGGAAUAUUGCACAAUGGGGGAAACCCUGAUGCAGCGACGCCGCGUGAGUGAAGAAGUAUUUCGGUAUGUAAAGCUCUAUCAGCAGGGAAGAAGAAAGACGGUACCUGACUAAGAAGCCCCGGCUAACUACGUGCCAGCAGCCGCGGUAAUACGUAGGGGGCAAGCGUUAUCCGGAUUUACUGGGUGUAAAGGGAGCGUAGACGGCUGUGCAAGUCUGAAGUGAAAGCCCAGGGCUCAACCCUGGGACUGCAUUGGAAACUACCGAACUAGAGUGUCGGGGGG
rnacentral:rRNA from 1 species